rnacentral:rRNA from 1 species
UUUAUUUGAGAGUUUGAUCCUGGCUCAGGAUGAACGCUGGCGGCGUGCCUAACACAUGCAAGUCGAGCGAUUUCCUUCGGGAAAGAGCGGCGGACGGGUGAGUAACGCGUGGGUAACCUGCCCUGUACACACGGAUAACAUACCGAAAGGUAUGCUAAUACGAGAUAAAGUGCUAUGAAGACAUCUUCGAAGCACCAAAGCUUUAGCGGUACAGGAUGGACCCGCGUCUGAUUAGCUAGUUGGUAAGGUAACGGCUUACCAAGGCGACGAUCAGUAGCCGACCUGAGAGGGUGAUCGGCCACAUUGG